ensembl:snRNA U6 U6 spliceosomal RNA
GUGCUCACUUCGGCAACACAUAUACUAAAAUUGGCAAGAUAGAGAGAAGAUUAGCAUGUCUCCUGCACAAGGAUGAUGAGCAAAUUCAUGAGGCAUUCAUUCAUUGCAUAUUUUU